rnacentral:rRNA from 1 species
ACAAACCGACCCCGCCGAAGGGGAGGUGGCAGACGGGUGAGUAACACGUGGGAACAUACCCUUCGGUACGGAACAACUCGGGGAAACGCGAGCUAAUACCGUAUACGCCUUGGCGGGGAAAGAUUUAUCGCCGAAGGAUUGGCCCGCGUCCGAUUAGCUAGUUGGUGAGGUAAUGGCUCACCAAGGCGACGAUCGGUAGCUGGUCUGAGAGGAUGGCCAGCCACAUUGGGACUGAGACACGGCCCAA